rnacentral:misc_RNA from 1 species
UCCGAGUUGACCCCGGCAGUCUCCCAUGAGUCCCCAACCAAAUGCUGGCAACAUGGAACGAGGGUUGCGCUCGUUGCGGGACUUAACCCAACAUCUCACGACACGAGCUGACGACAGCCAUGCACCACCUGUACACCGGUAUCAAAGAGACCCCCAUCUCUGGAGGCUUCCGGCGUAUGUCAAACCCAGGUAAGGUGGGGAUGACGUUGUGGAAGCAAGCU